rnacentral:tRNA from 1 species
UCGAACUAUGGCGGACGGCCGACGCGAGUUCUUCCGCGGUUCUCGCCGACGACAGUUCUUCUUUCGGUUCGAUGCCGAACGCUCGAAC